GUUGGGUUUUACCCAGCCCUCAUCCAUGAUCAGCCUACAUGUAGCACAGCUAGGUUGCUUCUCCUGGCUUCUGCCUGGUGCUUCACAGGCAUGUUUUCACCUCCAAGUGCCCAUCCUCUUUUGACUGAAAAGUGAUGUGUGCCCAGCCUUAAGCCAAACUGCAAAGAGGCAUUGUUGAAAGAGAGAUACUAAUGAGAUACCUUCAAAGUUCAUCAAAUUUCAUACAUAUUAAUAGAAAAGCAAGGAUUUCCCUAUUUUCUUCCACUCUGGUGCCUGCUUUCCUCUUCUAAUUUAUGUCUCUUUGCUCAGAAGGGAACAAAAUAUCCCAUGAGUCACAGGACUGUUUCUCACCCCCCUCAUAUAAGCUCUCAGGGUCCAGAUUGUUUCUUGUAACUGCAAGGACAUACCUGGUUUUACCAAGCAAGCAACAUGGAAUUGCUGGUCAUGUCGAAAAUAAAGGGAUUGAAUUUUUUUUUGCAAGCUCUGAAGAGCACAGGUAGGUCAAAACCAUGCAGUUUUGCUGGCUGUGGAGGAACCUCCAGGUGGCUGAGAGCUUGUAAGAACAACACCCUUCCUCCCAGCAGAUGGGUAUGUGGUUCCCAGGGAUUGCAGGUGGAGAGCACUGCACUCAGCUGGUCCUGCAGCCCUCGGGAUGGCCAAGCAACCAGGACUAAGGAUGAAUGUGAGGUUAAUCCCAAAAUGACCAACCCAAAACCCAGAAGAGACUGAGGUUCACCAUCAGGCAGACAGUGCAGCACCCAAGCAGAGACCAGGUCUAAGGUGCAUGAGUUAGCUCAUCUGACUUCAAAACUGUAUGGGCUCCACCACAGUUGCGGAAAUGAACAUCUGGUACCCAGAGAAGCCCACACAGACCUAUAGUACUGGGGAUUAGAUGGUAUGAAAGACAGUACUAGCAGCUCAAAUAUGAUGUUGCAGAGGAGAAAGCUGAGCUCAGCAAGGAGGCUGUGACAUUUGGAGCAGCAGUGGAAGCAGGACAGCUGCCUCAGGGGCAGGGUAGGGUUUCUGUCAAAAGAAGCUUCCUGUUUACUGAUGCCUAACAUUGUUUUAUGCAAAUUACACCAAUAGGACUAAAAGAGCAAUUUCUGUGAUCAAUAUCUGUACCAUAAAAAUUAUUGUCCCAAAGGGCUCCAGACCCUGCUGUCAUUCAGGAGGUGGGUGACGAUAUCUAUCAGGGGAAAGUCUAGGACAUAACUCAGGAAUUGUUUGUUUUCGUGGAGAGGAGUUACUUCCAGUACUGUGAAAGCUUUAAGAAAUUAUUUACCUUUGAAAAAUAAAUAAAUAAAUAAAUAAAAACUUGCA
rnacentral:lncRNA from 1 species